UGGUAAUUCUUCUUUCUAGGAGGAAAAGUUCAACUUAUUAUUUAUUUUGUAGGAUUUUUAAUGCCAAUUAAAGAAUCAAGAAUGCAUUAGUUAACGGAUGACAAAUGUUUACCAAUUUUAGCACCUAAUAUUGCUCUUGGAUAGAAAGGCUGGCUGUGCCCAUCUUGUUGUUCGUAGCAAAUAUUGCAAGUCAUCCAUUGAGACAAUGAGCUAGUCAAGCUACUGGAUUUUGAUUUCUAAACUCAAGACUCCAUUUUCAUAUCAGAAAGAAGUAUUCCUGUUGAGUAUUGGCCCCCGGCUCCUCCCCACAGAAGAGAGAGAGAGAGAGAGAGA
rnacentral:misc_RNA from 1 species